GUGACUGAACAUCGAAACAAACUUCUUGACUUGACUCAGACUACUCGAGGCAGACUGUGUGACUAAAGAGUCGUGACCUGACUGGCUUAAUUCAUGGCGUUAUCUUAAAUGAAGCAUUUGCUGAGGUGGUUCCCCCAGGAAGUAGGUGCACCGUUGCACAAAAGCAUAUGCAGGCCCAAGAUUGCAUGCUGAUCGUGCCAGUGUGGCGUGGUUUUCCGCUGAAGCUGCUACACAACUGCAUUACUUUUGUAAGGAGGGUUGGACAAGAGAAAUAAGUCCUGUCAGCAGGAAUUGCUGGUGGUUUAAUCGAGGGAGCGUCUGAGUGGGACCAAUAAAAAGGAGGGAAACCUCCCUCACUGAGAGUUUUCACCUGUUGCUAGACAUGGCCAUGAGGUCCAGUUACACAACAGUUCGCUGUGGACCGACGACAGACAUCUCUACGAGCG